UGUUAGUUUGGCAAGUCCCAUAGUCCCACAUCGGGAAAAUCAGACUUGUUGUCUCGUAUUGGAACUAUAAAUAAGGGUCUGAGCUUUGAAGUCAAAUGCACCACAAGAGGUACCACAAGUGGCACCACAAGAAAAACCUAAGUGUUUGCUUUGGUUUAAGUCUAUACUCAGUUAAAUAGUUUGGACUUAUAGUUUGGUUUUUCUUGUUUAGUAUUUUCGGG
rnacentral:lncRNA from 1 species